UUAUGCUCAAAGGAGCAUGUUAGGUUUUAGUUAAUGUAGCUUUAGUUUCCGCUGAAGAAUGGAUAAUCUUCCAUUUAAUCACUCGAGGUGACCGACCCGAGCGUUUGCUUCUCUUGCCAUUGUAGAUUAUUGAAGUGCUAUAGAUUCAUUAGCUGAGGUGCAAUUUUAAGUGGAAUCGAUUUGAUUUUGAACGAUUUGAUUGGGUCCUGAAGUUAGCUUUUCAUUGGCAUAAUCGAGUUAUUAAUGAUCACAUGCGUCUGUGGUUGUUGCAGGAUCAGUCGGGAGAUGUGCUGCAUUGGAUUCGGCAGGUAAUGGCGCUUGUGUGCGGAUUGGUAUGGGGUUCAAUACCUUUGGUUGGAGGCAUAUGGACUGUCCCGUGAGUUGAUUGCUUUUCGCGUUCAUGCACCUUUUUAACCUUCCACUGUUUCUGUUCUAUGAAAGCUCGAAACUCUUGUAGAGGACUAGGCAUCCCCAAGGGUAAAAGAAUGAAGGAAAUCAUCCUUGAAUUUGGAUGAUGGCUUAGUCGUGGAGUGAGAAUUUAGAGCUACCAAAGCCAUUGGCAUCCGCAUGAACGAGAUUAUUCCCUACCUCCAAUGCUUGUCCCUUCUCUCUUUCGUUUGAAGGAACCCCACCUCUGUGACGUCCACCAAGUGUUUGUGAAUUUGCCCAAUUGUAUCCAUUGCGUAAUUCACAGAUUUAAAUGUUUUGACUACUAGUUUUGUGAAAUUCUAUUCUCUCUUCUUUUAGUUAUUUUUCUAUUAUGUUGAUGCCCUGGUCAAUCUAGAUGGAUGAGUUUUAUUCCAUUUUCACUACUUGCAGACUCGUCCUGGAUGAGAAUUGUUCCUAUUGUGUUUGGGACACAAGUCUAGUAAGGACUUAAGUUCUUCACAGGUUUAAAAGUACCAAGUAUGGAUGGAAAGUUGAAGUUCACUCUUAAAAAUACUUAAGUGAAAGAAUCUAAUUGAGCCUAACAAAUCGCAAGAGAGGCACAUAGCAUGGGAGAAGUUUCCAUUUGUAUUUGGAAAUU
rnacentral:lncRNA from 1 species